rnacentral:rRNA from 1 species
AGGAUAAACGCUGGCGGCGUGCCUAACACAUGCAAGUCGAACGCGCUUCGCAAGAAGCGAGUGGCGGACGGGUGAGGAACACACGGGUACCUGCCCCGAAGUGAGGAAUACCACCGGGAAACCGGUGACAAUACCGCAUACCCUUCGCAAGAAGGAAAGUCGCAAGACGCUUUGGGAUGGGCCUAUGGCCGAUUAGCUAGCUGGUGGGGUAAUGGCCUACCAGGGCGACGAUCGGUAGCUGGUCUGAGAGGAUGAUCAGCCACACUGGGAUUGAGAACGGCCCAGACUCCUACGGGGGGCAGCAGUGAGGAAUUUUCCGCAAUGGACGAAAGUCUGACGGAGCAACGCCGCGUGCAGGAUGACGGCCUUCGGGUUGUAAACUGCUUUUCUCUGGGACGAGCAAGGACGGUACCAGAGGAAUCAGCCCGGCUAACUACGCGCCAGCAGCCGC